GUGCAGUGAUGCUAUUAUCAACACAUCAUUCUGAAAACACGUGUGGAAGAUUUCUAACUGAGCACA
ensembl:snoRNA SNORD63 Small nucleolar RNA SNORD63